CACGUAGGGCGCAAGCGUUGUCCGGAAUUAUUGGGCGUAAAGAGCUCGUAGGCGGUCUGUUGCGUCCGCUGUGAAAACUCGAGGCUCAACCUCGAGACGUCGGUGGAAACCGUUUGGCUAGAGUCCGGAAGAGGAGAGUGGAAUUCCCGGUGUAGCGGUGAAAUGCGCAGAUAUCGGGAAGAACACCCGUGGCGAAGGCGGCUCUCUGGGACGGUACUGACGCG
rnacentral:rRNA from 1 species